AUUAAUUUUAUUGUUGUGUCUAAUAUAGAAACAACUUGUGUUGUAAAAGAAAAGAUGACAGCAUAUCUCUUUAAAACGUGCCAGUAUAGGCCCUGACUGCACGCGAGAACAUUUGAAUUAUCUGGCACGAGGCCUCACACGUCAUACUUCAACUGACACAACGGUCUCGAUGGGGUUUCUGUUCCUGCAGUCUUUCAGCGGUGCUGGCGCGUAUGACGAUGCGGACAUGAACAGCACACUACAGUAUACCGCCACCUACUGUACUGUAGUGCAAUAACGUCCUUUAAACAUCUAAACAUGUCCUCCAAAAAGGAAAAGGGAAAAAACAUUGGAAAACAAUUUUAGCCUAAGGUUUCCUGUGCUGUUUUGCUCCAUUUUACUGAACAAAAUAAGGCUGAGGUAGCACCAUCCUUGUGGUUAGAGUGAAAGAACGUGUGUAUUGAGACCAAAAUAAACAAUGUGCCAUUCUGGACAAACAGCUGUGGACAAUAUAUGCAGUCAGAGUAGCCUAUUUUCUCACACAGACCUGAAGAUAAGAUUUCCAGUUUAAAAGUGAAGAAAAUGAAUCAUUAUUAACAGCAAUUAGGAGUAUUUCUCAGCUGAAAAGCCAGUUUAUGCACAAUCACAAAUGCAGCACAUCAAUCAAUUUCUUCCAACCAGCGAAUCAAGAAAUCUUGGAGUGGAGAAUCAUUCUGAAAGUAGACCAAAUCCAGGACAACAUCACAGCAGUGGUCGGAAAAAUGCAGCAAGCCAAGCUGACUUUCAAAAGAUGAUUCGUUAUCUGUUUCUUCAGAGGGGAGGCAGUUUGGGAGAUGGGAAUUAGGAGGAUGCUACAGUUACACAGGGCGAAUUUCAGCAGCUCAGUUUCAAACUUGCAACUAACAAUGAAUUAUAUUAGAAGACCACGGAAAUAUUUGACAUCGGAGUCCAGCAGACAGCCAGAGACAUGCACACACACGCAGCUGAAGCGCGUGACGCGUACGGGAGAUCCGGCACGCGCACGGGAGCUUGCGCACGCUCACACAAACACGGAGCACAGGAUAAUUACAACUGUUUAAUUAAAAAUAAAAGAACUUUGUUGUAUACAAUGUUUAGCGUGUCUGAUUUCAUUGGUUAGCAAGGAAAUAAAACGACGUGCUGAGGACUUUAGGCGAACGUCCCCUAAGAGUCCCGAAAGUCCGCUGACCGUCCUGCGAACGUCCUCGCAAAAGUCCGGAGGACGUCCUCGCCGAAGUCCGCUCGACGUAACGGGAACCAUACACGAUGACGUUCGGGGGACGUUCGCCUAAAGUGCUUAGCAUGUUAUUUAGCUUACAAAAAAGGUCCCCAUGACGUCCCCUAAAAGUCAAUAAAGUCCCCAAAACGUCAUUUUGAACGUCCGGAAGACGUUUUUGCGGACGUUCGCAGGACGUCAAAAGAACCCUACACGAUAACGUCCGGGGGACGUUCGCAGAUGCCAUUUAGGGGACGUCCUGGGGACCUUUUUUUGUUAGCUGGGAGGAUCAUGGCAGCCCAAUGUUUUGUGUGAGAGCACUGGCUUUGUUUUUUCAUUGCCAUGUGCUUUCUGUCUCGUCUCCUGACCCCGCCCCCUUGUUUCCUCGUUAAUCAUCCCAUUAUUGUUUGAUUCAUGUCACCUGUUCCCCUCUUGAUUUGCUCCCCUAUUUAAUGCCCUUGUGUUUGCUGUCCUGUGCUCGAUCGUCUGUUUUUCAUGGAGUUUGUAUUGUUCCUGUUUAAGUCCUAAUAUCCAAUCCAGUCAAGUCUUGUUUAGUGUUUGCUCUUGUCUAGCUCAGUGUUUAUAGUUUAGUCUAGUCUUGCCUUGUUAGUGUUUUUGUAUUAUCUGUUAUUGUUGUUUUACCCCCUCGUGGGUUUUUGUUUUCUUGUUUUAAUUAAAGUCAUCAGUGUUUUCUCCA